rnacentral:rRNA from 1 species
UACAGAGGUGGCAAGCGUUGUUCGGAAUUACUGGGCGUAAAGGGCGCGUAGGCGGUCUUGUAAGUCUUGUGUGAAAUCCCUCGGCUUAACUGGGGAGGGUCAUUCGAUACUGCUCGACUUGAAGGCAGGAGAGGGUAGUGGAAUUCCCGGUGUAGUGGUGAAAUGCGUAGAUAUCGGGAGGAACACCAGUGGCGAAGGCGACUACCUGGCCUGUUCUUGACGCUGAGGCGCGAAAGCUAGGGGAGCAAACGGG